rnacentral:tRNA from 1 species
GGGGGUAUAGCUCAGUGGUAGAGUAUAUGCUUAGCAUAUGAAGCCUUGGGUUCUAUCCUCAGUACCACCC